rnacentral:rRNA from 1 species
CGGAGGAGCUAGCGUUGUUCGGAAUUACUGGGCGUAAAGCGCACGUAGGCGGCGAUUCAAGUCAGAGGUGAAGCCCGGGCUCAACCCCGGAACUGCCUUUGAAACUAGAUUGCUAGAAUCCUGGAGAGGUGAGUGGAAUUCCGAGUGUAGAGGUGAAAUUCGUAGAUAUUCGGAAGAACACCAGUGGCGAAGGCGACUCACUGGACAGGUAUUGACGCUGAGGUGCGAAAGCGUGGGGAGCAAACAGGAUU